rnacentral:misc_RNA from 1 species
UCAGUCUAGUCACUGCUUCAGCGACAAAAACGAAAUAGGAACAAUGGAUAAAGGAGAACAAAAAACAUUGGCGAAUGAAUGCGUAUUAGCAAAGUGUUUGAACAAUAGGAACAUUAGAUUAGUAGGGUGUGGGAGCCAACAUGCAGAGCCACCUUGCAAAAUUGUCGAUGGAGAUUUGUCUAAACCUCAUCCAGAUUGCUGCCCUCAGAUUGAAUGUUCCUAAGAAUUAGAAAUAUAAAACUUUCCAACAUUUAAUUAUCUCGCUUUUAUCAAUCUAUCGGAACUUGAUAGAUAUCACAGGGAUGAAUAUUCUUUCAACAUUCUCCAAAAUAUUAGAAAGGGCCUAAAACUAACAAAUUAUUUAGAGAAAAAUUUGCUUAUGCCUUCAAUACGAAAGGUUUCAGCUGUAAAACAGCCCUUUUCAAUAUUACUGAUGAUAUAAUUCAAGCAACUGAUAGAUACAAUUUCGAUAUCGCUGGACUUCAAUAGAGCAUUUGAUGAGCUCAGUAUAUCAAAUGGGAAUAAUUUUGUAAUUAAGAAGCAAAACAAGAGUAACAAAUAUAUUUAUGAAUAAUUGUCUUGGAAAUGAUUAAUUGAAAUACAAUAUGAAAAAACUAAUAAAUUCUGAAAAUUA